rnacentral:rRNA from 1 species
GACAGAGGGUGCAAACGUUGUUCGGAAUUACUGGGCGUAAAGCGCGUGUAGGCGGCUUGGCAAGUCGGGUGUGAAAGCCCUGGGCUCAACCUAGGAAGUGCACUCGAUACUGCCGAGCUUGAGUAUCGGAGAGGUUGGUGGAAUUCUCGGUGUAGAGGUGAAAUUCGUAGAUAUCGAGAGGAACACCGGCGGCGAAGGCGGCCAACUGGACGAAUACUGACGCUGAGACACGAAAGCGUGGGGAGCAAACAGG